AUUGAACGCUGGCGGCAGGCCUAACACAUGCAAGUCGAACGGUAACAGGAAACAGCUUGCUGUUUCGCUGACGAGUGGCGGACGGGUGAGUAAUGUCUGGGAAACUGCCUGAUGGAGGGGGAUAACUACUGGAAACGGUAGCUAAUACCGCAUAACGUCGCAAGACCAAAGAGGGGGACCUUCGGGCCUCUUGCCAUCGGAUGUGCCCAGAUGGGAUUAGCUAGUAGGUGGGGUAACGGCUCACCUAGGCGACGAUCCCUAGCUGGUCUGAGAGGAUGACCAGCCACACUGGAACUGGGACACGGUCCAGACUCCUACGGGAGGCAGCAGUGGGGAAUAUUGCGCAAUGGGCGCAAGCCUGAUGCAGCCAUGCCGCGUGUAUGAAGAAGGCCUUCGGGUUGUAAAGUACUUUCAGCGGGGAGGAAGGGAGUAAAGUUAAUACCUUUACUCAUUGACGUUACCCGCAGAAGAAGCACCGGCUAACUCCGUG
rnacentral:rRNA from 1 species